rnacentral:rRNA from 1 species
UACGUAGGGGGCGAGCGUUGUCCGGAGUUACUGGGCGUAAAGCGCACGCAGGCGGUCUGCUAAGUUUGGAGUGACAGUUGGUGGCUUAACUGCCAAAGUGCUUCGAAAACUGACAGACUUGAGGGCUUCAGAGGGACACGGAAUUCCGGGUGGAGUGGUGAAAUGCGUAGAGAUCGGAGGAACACCAAAGGCGAAGGCAGUGUCCCGGGGAGACCUGACGCUCAGGUGCGAAAGCCAGGGGAGCGAACGGG